ACUCGCAAUUGGCGCAUCCUAAUUCAUUAGUCGCUCUCCUAUUCUUGACUCCCUCACUCUCUCUCUCUCUCUCUGAGGCGCUCUCACAGUGAUCGUCACAGGAGCCGCCAACAAUGCCUUCUUGGCUCAUCCGCGAACCCUAAACUCUCUCUCCCAUCGUUCUCUGACUCGUCGAGUCGACGCUUCUGCCAUGGCCGGAGACGACCCCCGGAACGGCGGCUCUUCACACGGCCACAGCAACCACCGCCACGUUGCCAAGAAGCCGAAGCUUUCACAGUCCAUUUCGGAGUCCGAAAUCCGGGCAGAAUUCUCCCACCACGCGGAGGGCGUCGCCAGGAUCAACAAUGGCAGCUUCGGUUCCUGCCCCGCGUCAGUUCAGUCGGCCCACAGGGACUGGCAGCUCCGGUUCCUCCGCCAGCCCGACGAGUUCUACUUCAACAUCCUGAAGGACGGGAUCCUUCGCUCCCGGACCCUAAUCAAGGCCCUGAUCAACGCCGACGACGUUGAAGAGGUCUCCCUUGUGGACAACGCCACCACUGCUGCCGCCAUCGUCCUCCAGCAGGUCAGCCGUGGUUUCGCCGAGUCCAGGUUCAAGCCCGGCGAUACUGUCGUCAUGCUCCACUGCGCGUUCCAGGCGGUGAAGAAGUCGAUCCAGGCGUAUGUCACACCCGCCGGUGGCUCUGUCAUCGAGGUUGAGCUGCCAUUUCCGGUUAGUUCCAAGGAGGAGAUCAUCGACGCAUUUAAAUUAGGGUUAGAUAGAGGCAAACGGGAUGGUAGAACCGUGAGGUUAGCUAUAAUUGAUCAUAUCACAUCAAUGCCUUCUGUUCUCCUUCCGGUGAAGGAUUUAGUUCGGGUUUGCAGAGAGGAAGGCGUGGAGAGGGUUUUCGUCGAUGCUGCUCACGCCAUAGGUAGUGUUAACGUCGAUGUGAAGGAGAUUGGAGCUGAUUUUUAUGUUAGCAAUUUGCACAAAUGGUUCUUUUGCCCACCGUCUGUUGCAUUCUUGUACUGCAGAAAGGUUGAUUUUUCCAAUGAUAUGCACCACCCCGUGGUCUCUCAUGAGUACGGCAAUGGGCUCCCCAUCGAGAGUGCGUGGAUCGGCACGAGAGACUACAGCUCCCAGCUCGUCGUGCCUUCGGCUGUGGAGUUUGUGGAGAGGUUUGAAGGUGGGGUCGAGGGGAUAAUGAGGUGGAACCAUGAGGAAGUCGUGAAAAUGGGGAAGAUGCUAGUGGAAUCUUGGGGGACGAAUCUCGGGUCUCCCCAAGAAAUGUGCGCAAGCAUGAUCAUGGUAGGCUUGCCUUCUAGGCUGUUAAUUUCGAGCACGGAGGAUGCUUCGAAGCUGAGGUCCUACAUUAGGGAGCAUCAUGGGGUCGAAGUUCCAAUCCAUUAUCAGGCUCCAAAGGAAGAAGGGGAGGGACCUAGGGACAAGGAUGGUGGCAGAAUAACAGGGUAUGCCCGUAUAUCUCAUCAAGUUUAUAACACCGCAGAGGAUUACUACAAGUUCAGGGACGCAGUCACAGAGCUCGUAGAGAAAAACUUUACCUGCAGAUUGAUCUUGUGAAAAGGACCUGAUGAAAUAUGUGAGUGCUUUUACAAGCGGUCGGUUCAUGUAUGAAGCCCUUUGGCAUUUGGUCGACUAGAAGAAAUGUGAGCCAUAUUUUAUGGAGGAUUUUAAUGCUGUUCUGAUUCCCAGUUUGUAGAAGUUUUCUGAAUGCUCAAAAGGGUUGCAGCCCGAGUUAAUGUCUGUGGGUGCUUGUUCUUUUCCAGCGGGUGGGACAGAAUCUGUAACUUCCGGGUCCCCGGGAUGAACUAGCCCACAUGUUCCAUAACGACAUCCCAUGGCAUGUUGCUGGCAAAUUAGCUUGUGCCUAACACUUGUAAUGCCAAACGCUGUUCUAGUGACAAAUAUAGUUCCAGAUUCUGGUAUUCAUGCAUUUGCUUGAGCUUUUUUUUUU